GGAAUCUUCCACAAUGGACGCAAGUCUGAUGGAGCAACGCCGCGUGAGUGAAGAAGGGUUUCGGCUCGUAAAGCUCUGUUGUUAAAGAAGAACGUGGGUAAGAGUAACUGUUUACCCAGUGACGGUAUUUAACCAGAAAGCCACGGCUAACUCCGUGCCAG
rnacentral:rRNA from 1 species